CAUUUUAAGAUGGAUGCUACCUUCAUUCAGGUUAGCGUUGCGAAGCAUAAACAAAAUAAACACGGAAUACGUCUUUACUCACCGAAAGACGGGACUACACAGAUCAUGAGUAUGUCUUAUUUGUCUGCCUGUGACCUACCGUUAUUGAUUACCAGCCCCGAGAGUCAAAAUGUUUAUUUUACGCAACGUUUUCACCAAACAGCAAACAUCUUACAAGAUUCCUGGGAUCGGGAGACUAAUUUAGUAGCCUGGCAUUCAGUUACAGGCUUGGCAACUCAAAGGUGGCUGCUUGUGUUGACGACAUCUGCCAGACAAUUGUCAGAAGACUAAAGCCGGAACAGAGGCCCAGCCCUAGCGAGGAGGACUGGAAAGCUAUUGUGCUGAGAAGUGGAACUACCCUCUUUGCAUAGGUGCAAUAGAUGGAAGAAUUUGCAGAUUCAAGCUCCACCGAGAUCAGGAAGCGAGUUUUUAAAUAUACUGUAAGAAGACAUUUUCUAUUGUGCUUCUUGCCCUGGUGGAUGCUGACUACCGUUUCCAUGUAGUACAGGUUGGGGAUUUCGGCCGCACAAGUGAUGGAGAGGUGUAUGCGGGCUCUGCACUUGGGAGAGGAAUGGAGGCUGGAUCCCUACAUGUGCCUGCAGAUCAUGCUGAACAUCUGUCAUUCUGGGGGAUUCCGCUUUCCCAUUGAAGCGCAACUUGUUGAGACCAUACCCACGGCAUUACCUCCCACAUGUUAAGAAGGUAUUCAAUUACCGCCUGUCUCGAGUGAGGAACGUAGUGGAAGAUGCAUUCGGAAUUCUGUUAUUCAGGUUCAGGAUCUUCUACAGGAGGAUCAAGGUACUCCCCCACAAGAGAGAUGUGCAGAUACUGGCAACCUGCCUCCUCCACAAUCUUUUGCAGAGGCCGAGUGAGAGUCAGAGAUGGCUGGAUGCGAGAAGUGCAGGGCACCCCAGAACAUCCGCAACAUGGGCAGAAUUCAAGGAUCGAGGGAUUCCUUCAAUGUGGUCCACCUUCCCUGUGGCUUGCUCUUCUCCUGUAGCUCCAAAGCAUAACGAUUGGUCUCCUCCACUAUGUCUCCCACCAGCUCCUCUAUCAGAAACAGCUUGAAGCACUCCGCCUCAGAGGGAGAUGGCAAGCGGCUUUGCGCUCCAGACUGGGACUCAUCAAAGCCAACAGCAGGGCGAGGUGGGGUUAAAUGACUGGCAGCCUUCCAGCUACCGCAGACCUCAUGUACACGCUUCAUCACCAUCAUCUUCAAAAGGAACCUGGGACUUUGUCGGUGGGCGAGCGGUCCUCAGAUUCAGGGUUCUCAAUGGCCAAAAGGUUGGGGGCAGUUCCUCACUGUCAGAAUCUGAUUCCUCACUUUCAUACUCACUCAUUGUCCGAAUUUACACAUUUGUGAGUUGUCUCUGUUUGAAAGACAUUGCUAAUGCUACAUCUUAGCCCACUAGCUACAUACAACACUGUAUGGCCCCGAGUGAGUGUCAGGGGUGACGUGAUUGGCUGUCUGCACCACCACUUAUCAAUUAAUCUAACAUAGCAGGCGUAAAAGAAAGGCCUGAACUAGAUCCCCUACAUACUGGUCUUGUCGAGAAGAAAAACAACUGUUGGGGGAGGUUCUCUUCUGCACUGUUCAACCAAUCCAGUAAAUGUGGAGGAGGAGUUCAAAUGGAGUGUCACCUUGUUAACGUCCAAAGGCGGAAGUCGCAUCACAGGUUCUCUUUUCAUUUCCCCUGAAAACCGGAACAUUCGGUUUUUGGGGACUCGGCAGAGGACAUGUAUCAGUAAAUCUCUAUCAGAAAAUUGUUUGUGUGGUUAUUAUUUCUUUAUUCACUGUUUUAUUCACGUUUUCAAGUACUUGUGACAAAUCAUGCAUUCCGAUUCUUGCGUACAUUUUAAAGGACGCAUGUGUAAAAUACUUAUUUGAAGGUUGUACUGAUUUUGAUGAGCUAAUGAUAAACUAAUUUCCGGCUAUGUGCGCAACCAUGUUUUUUGCCAUUGUCAUCAUUUUAAUGCAUUCUGGGUGUCAGGUAAACAUCUGUCAGACCAAAGAUGUUAUAACAAAACAAGACAAGGUGAAGGGAUGUCUUUUGGGUAAACGUCCCGAAGUGAAUGAUGGGAAGUGAAAGAUGGGAGUUACUUAUCUUGUCCUAUGAAACUCCCCAGACGACACACACUCCCUUCAACAUGCAUACUGCAAACAGACCCAACUCAUCUUGUCACCUUGUCUUACCAUUGGUUGACGCGUAAAAACAAAUAUGGUUGCGCGAACAAACUCUAGCCACUGUCGGAUUACUUUGGACUUUUAGAAAGUGUUUUACUCAAUUUAACUCACCCGUGAUGUGAUCAAUUGUAAAUACUAAUUGCUAUUAUCUAAUUCAUAUUAUGGUUUCUUUCAGCCAAGAGUUAGCUAAAUAUGACCGCUUGUGUUGCUCAGUCUUUCCUCAGUCAGUGCUAGGACCAACACAACCUACCUUUUCCGAGUUGGAUGAUAAUUGUUUUAUGCUGUUGCUUCUUCUGUGAAUGUCUGAACAUCUGCAUCCAAAAAUAUACUGCUCACAUUGAGGACAUACAGUUGUAAAGACUGUGUUUGUGCAAAAUGUUUCUGUGAAAAAAACAGUGUGGCCAGCUCAAAUGCUGACUGUUAUGUCAAUUGUAACUAGAUGUUCUUAUGAAGUGUUCUAAUCACACUGCUGCAGGGAUCACUGUAGAAUGAUCACACCUGUUUGAUUGUAUGCAUCAAAAGGUUAAUCAGCUGUGUUUGCUAGGGAUUGGGGAAAAGUGUGACACCACUCCAGCCCCUGAGGAUUUUGCUCUAUUUUGGUAGAUUCUGCUCUAUCAGUAGAAAACAUAGCCUGCAUGGUGAUACGUCAGCACUUACGACCAACAGCAGGACCAGCUAACUUGCCCACUCUAGCUAGCUAGCUGGCUAUCACUAUCAGUUUACAGAGUCACGUUUAACCAACAACAAAAAAACGAUUACAAUCUAUUUGUGGACUAAUUAUUUCUGAGUGAGCGUGCACAUUCUAUUUCUGCAUUCUGUAGAUGAGACUGCUCUCCAUUUCUUCUUAAAUAAAAUGUU